rnacentral:rRNA from 1 species
CAAUAGCGUAUAUUAAAGUUGCUGCAGUUAAAAAGCUCGUAGUUGGAUUUCUGGUAGGAGCGACCGUGCCGAACUUGAUUGUUCGAGUAUUGUGUUGUCUUCAGCCAUCCUCGUGGAGAACUUUUCUAACAUUAACUUGUUGGGAUUGGGACCCGCGUCGUUUACUGUGAAAAAAUUAGAGUGUUUAAAGCAGGCAUUAGCUUGAAUACAUUAGCAUGGAAUAAUAAGAUAGGACUUUGGUACUAUUUUGUUGGUUUGCAUACCAAAUUAAUGAUCAACAGGAACAGUUUGAGGAUAUUCGUAUGAACAUGUCAGAGGUGAAAUUCUUGGAUUUUGAUCAGACGAACUACUGCGAAAGCAUUUAUCAAGGAUGUUUUCAUUAA